GACGAACGCUGGCGGCGUGCUUAACACAUGCAAGUGGAGCGACGAAACAGGACUUGCCCUGGGGCAGAGCCGCCAACGGAUGGGUAACAAGUGGGUAAAGAGCCCCCAUGAAUGGGACAACCAGGGGCAACACGGGCUAAUACCGGAUGUGCACCAUCACAUACGUGAGGGGUGUAAAGGAAAAGACGGCCUCCGCGUCGGGAUCGGCCCGCGCCCCAUUAGCUUGUUGGUGAGGUAACGGCUCACCAAGGCUGCGAUGCGUAGCUGGUCUGAGAGGAUGAUCAGCCACACUGGGACUGAGACACGGCCCAGACUCCUACGGGAGGCAGCAGUGGGGAAUCUUGCGCAAUGCGCGAAAGCGUGACGCAGCAACGCCGCGUGGGGGAAGACGGCCUUCGGGUUGUAAACCCCUUUCAGUUGGGACGAAGGUCGGGCGGUUAACAGCCGUUCCGGCUGACGGUACCUUCACAAGAAGCCCCGGCUAACUACGUG
rnacentral:rRNA from 1 species